rnacentral:tRNA from 1 species
AGAGGUGUCACUCAGUGGUAGGGAGCUUGCCUAGCAUGCAUGAGGCCCUGGGUUCAAUCCCCAGCACCACUA